CUUUACAAUGCGGGAAACCGUGAUAAGGGGACACCGAGUGCUAGCAUCAUAUGCUAGCUGUCCAGGCGUGUAAACUACGCCUGUUAGCAAGGGCCGGGCAAGACCGGUGCCAGCCGCCGCGGUAACACCGGCGGCCCGAGUGGUAAUCGUGAUUAUUGGGUCUAAAGGGUCUGUAGCCGGCCGGAUAAGUCUCUUGAGAAAUCUGGCAGCUUAAACUGG
rnacentral:rRNA from 1 species